UAUAGUAAAUGUAAAUGGAUAUAAAUAAAUAAAUAAAUAACAAAUAAAUGAACAAAUAAAUCCUUAAUUUGGCAUACGGCUGCCCAGCAAAAGAGCCUAUUUCCCAGCUUCCUUUACAGCCAGGCGUCCCCUCGUGUUUGUUUAAGCUCUGGCCAGUGGCCUUCGAGCAGGAACGUUGUGGGCAAAUUUCAGAGCUGCUGAGAUCGGAAGAUCAC